rnacentral:miRNA from 1 species
CUCGGAGGUGGAGUCGCGGU